UGGCCAAGCUACCCUGUGGACGGGAAUACUCUCGGGAAACUGAGACUAAUCCCCGAUAACGCUUUGCUCCUGGAAGGGGCAAAGCCGGAAACGCUCCGGCGCCACAGGAUGCGGCUGCGGUCGAUUAGGUAGACGGUGGGGUAACGGCCCACCGUGCCCAUAAUCGGUACGGGUUGUGAGAGCAAGAGCCCGGAGACGGAAUCUGAGACAAGAUUCCGGGCCCUACGGGGCGCAGCAGGCGCGAAACCUUUACACUGUACGAAAGUGCGAUAAGGGGACUCCGAGUGUGAAGGCAUAGAGCCUUCACUUUUGUACACCGUAAGGCGGUGCACGAAUAAGGACUGGGCAAGACCGGUGCCAGCCGCCGCGGUAAUACCGGCAGUCCGAGUGAUGGCCGAUCUUAUUGGGCCUAAAGCGUCCGUAGCUGGCUGAACAAGUCCGUUGGGAAAUCUGUCCGCUUAACGGGCAGGCGUCCAGCGGAAACUGUUCAGCUUGGGACCGGAAGACCUGAGGGGUACGUCUGGGGUAGGAGUGAAAUCCUGUAAUCCUGGACGGACCGCCGGUGGCGAAAGCGCCUCAGGAGAACGGAUCCGACAGUGA
rnacentral:rRNA from 1 species